AGUGAACGCUGGCGGUAGGCCUAACACAUGCAAGUCGAACGGCAGCACAGUAAGAGCUUGCUCUUACGGGUGGCGAGUGGCGGACGGGUGAGGAAUACAUCGGAAUCUACUUUUUCGUGGGGGAUAACGUAGGGAAACUUACGCUAAUACCGCAUACGACCUACGGGUGAAAGCAGGGGAUCUUCGGACCUUGCGCGAUUGAAUGAGCCGAUGUCGGAUUAGCUAGUUGGCGGGGUAAAGGCCCACCAAGGCGACGAUCCGUAGCUGGUCUGAGAGGAUGGUCAGCCACACUGGAACUGAGACACGGUCCAGACUCCUACGGGAGGCAGCAGUGGGGAAUAUUGGACAAUGGGCGCAAGCCUGAUCCAGCCAUACCGCGUGGGUGAAGAAGGCCUUCGGGUUGGAAAGCCCUUUUGUGGGGAAAGAAAAGCAGCAGGUUAAUACCACGCUGUUCUGACGGUACCCAAAGAAUAAGCACCGGCUAACUUCGUG
rnacentral:rRNA from 1 species